rnacentral:rRNA from 1 species
AGAGUUUGAUCAUGGCUCAGGACGAACGCUGGCGGCGCGCUUAACACAUGCAAGUCGUGCGAUACCUCGAGCGAGUCUUACGACAAGCUCAAGGUAGAGCGGCGGACGGGUGAGUAACACGUGAGUAGCUGUCCUAAGGAGGGGGAUAACGCCUGGAAACGGGUGCUAAAACCCCAUAUGCCUCGCAAGAGGUGAAAGUGUAUUACUGCAGCCUUAGGGUGUGCUCGCGGCCUAUCAGCUAGUUGGUGAGGUAACGGCUCACCAAGGCUAAGACGGGUAGCCGGCCUGAGAGGGUGUACGGCCACACUGGAAUUGAGAUACGGUCCAGACUCCUACGGGAGGCAGCAGUGGGGAAUCUUGGGCAAUGGGCGAAAGCCUGACCCAGCGACGCCGCGUUGGGGAUGAAGCCCUUCGGGGUGUAAACCCAUGUUGUAGGGGACGAAGAAAGUGACGGUACCCUACGAGGAAGCCCCGGCUAACUACGUGCCAGCAGCCGCGGUAAGGCGUAGGGGGCGAGCGUUGUCCGGAAUUACUGGGCGUAAAGGGCACGCAGGCGGUGCGCCAAGUCGAGGGUGUAAAGUUACGGCUCAACCGUGACAUUGCAAUCGAUACUGGCGCGCUGGAGUGCGGGAGAGGGAAGUGGAAUUCCCGGUGUAGCGGUGAAAUGCGUAGAUAUCGGGAGGAACGCCAGUGGCGAAGGCGGCUUCCUGGCCCGCGACUGACGCUCAUGUGCGAAAGCCAGGGGAGCGAACCGGAUUAGAUACCCGGGUAGUCCUGCCCGUAAACGAUGGGUGCUAGGUGUAGGCGCGUCAAGCGUCUGUGCCGAAGUUAACGCGAUAAGCACCUCGCCUGGGGAGUACGGUCGCAAGGCUGAAACUCAAGGAAUUGACGG